AUUGAACGCUGGCGGCAUGCCUUACACAUGCAAGUCGAACGGCAGCACGGGGCAACCUGGUGGCGAGUGGCGAACGGGUGAGUAAUGCAUCGGAACGUACCUUUCAGUGGGGGAUAACGUAGCGAAAGUUACGCUAAUACCGCAUAUUCUGUGAGCAGGAAAGCAGGGGAGCGCAAGACCUUGCGCUGAUUGAGCGGCCGAUGUCAGAUUAGCUAGUUGGUGAGGUAAAGGCUCACCAAGGCGACGAUCUGUAGCGGGUCUGAGAGGAUGAUCCGCCACACUGGAACUGAGACACGGUCCAGACUCCUACGGGAGGCAGCAGUGGGGAAUUUUGGACAAUGGGGGCAACCCUGAUCCAGCCAUGCCGCGUGAGUGAAGAAGGCCUUCGGGUUGUAAAGCUCUUUCGGCCGGGAAGAAAUCGCACGGGCUAAUACCCUGUGUGGAUGACGGUGCCGGAAUAAGAAGCACCGGCUAACUACGUGCCAGCCGCCGCCGUAAGAC
rnacentral:rRNA from 1 species